UUAGGAAUAUUCGUCAAUGGGGGAAACCCUGAACGAGCAAUGCCGCGUGAAGGAAGAAGGUCCUAUGGAUUGUAAACUUCUGUUGUAAAGGAAGAACGACCUAAGUAGGAAAUGACUUAGGAGUGACGGUACUUUAUAAGAAAGCUCCGGCUAACUACGUGCCAGCAGCCGCGGUAAUACGUAGGGAGCGAGCGUUAUCCGGAAUUAUUGGGUGUAAAGGGUGCGUAGGCGGCCUGAUAAGUCAGUGGUGAAAGCCCGGAGCUUAACUCCGGUAAGCCAUUGAAACUGUGAGGCUUGAGUAUGGUAGAGGCAAGUGGAAUUUCUAGUGUAGCGGUAAAAUGCGUAGAUAUUAGAAGGAACACCAGUGGCGAAGGCGACUUGCUGGGCCAAGACUGACGCUGAGGCACGAAAGCGUGGGGAGCAAAUAGG
rnacentral:rRNA from 1 species